CAGCAGGGUUUGGCAUCAGCCUUUGGCUUCUGGAAAGUGGAGACUGAACAGUCCCUUCUGCACUUGACCCUGAAGCUUCAUUUACCAAAGCCUGAUUUUAACCUUGACCCAAACUUCUGCCUUGCUGCAAAUGUGAAGAGGGAAUCUCUUCCCAGCCCAGGAAAGGCUCAAAUACCGAUAUCCUUCCUACACCCUAAGGAGAUUUCAGCAAUCCCCGAGGUGUUCAGAUGGCCCAUUAGACAGUGCAUUAGGGCUGGGCAGGUGACUUUUAGUUGGACUGGUCAGCUGAAGAUCUAAGGCUGAGGUCAGAUUAGGCUGCCUGAGUUGAAGCUAAUGAGCUGGGAGACAGCCGGGGGAGUGGAAGUCAAAAAUCAAUAACCUGGGAAGAGCUGAUUCUUUUCCACGUGCCACUCAUGUAUUUACUGACUCUGUGCAGAGAAUAGGGAAGUUUUAGGAACUUCUUCUAGUGCUUGGUGUUGAACCCCUGGUUGUUCUCUUCCCAGUUUUCUCUCCCAGAGUUCGGGUGCGAUUCACACCUUGUGCAUCCUCCCAGAGCAUCAUGUUUUCUCCUGAAAAGGCAUCCUGUGCCUGGCCCUCAUGUAACUAGGCUGAACAUAUGGACCAACUUGCAGCAAAAAGCACUUCUCCCACCCAGCCAUGCUCGUUGUGUGUGUGCCUGUCUCUGGCUCCAUGGCUUUGUCACAUGUGUGUGCACAUUCUUCUCUGCAUAUGGCAGCUCCAGUGCUGGGACCAGGCUCCUUCCCGUGCAAAUCCUCCUCACCACUUAUUUACAUGGAAGGUGGCGCCUUGCUGUACAUUAACAUUGAAAACCAAACAGCCGGCCCAUCAGGAGCAUCGCUCUGAGGGAUGGCAACACAUUGCAAACAUCAAGAGGAAGGGAUGGAGAGAAAUCCUGCUUCAGCAGAAAGACCAUGACAAAAGUUAUGCUGCAAGCCCUGAUCUAAGCUGUAAAAGACCAUGGAUGGGAGAGGGCUGAAGUCUGACCAUCUGCAGAAGGUAGUGACCUGUGCCUGAAUCUCUACACUGACUGUGGAGCAGACCAGGACAGUCGAUGAAAACAACAAUUAAACCUGCCUGGGAUUUGCAAUUCCUGUAGCUGGGAGAGGAAUGACUCAUGCCAGCUGAUGCUCGGGUGUCUUCCUCGAGACACCACGAUCGGUGGCCUGUGGAUGGAGCAGGGCUGGGCUGCUUCUCACCCCUUGAGAGGUAUCUGCAUCUCAGGAUCUGACCCAAAGAAGAACAUGAAGGAUGCCCUGGAGAUCCUGCUAGAGACUGAAAAAUGGGAGCACCUUCCAAGAGCGCUUUGUGUCUUAGAGGGAGAGAAUCAACUUCCAACAGGAAAGGAAACCUCAGGUUUUUCGUUCAGCUUUCCUGUCUCUAAUACCAUCAGUUCCCAUUGAGACUGUUCAGUAACUAGCACCUUGGUGUGGCAAGGAAGACACAGAUCUGCUUGGCAGGUUCUCCUCUGAAUGCAGCCUUGCUGGGAUGGUGUCCUGAUAUUUGCACCUUUAUCAAGAUUUUAUUAUGGCAUAUUGAAGAAGGCUUCUUGCAGACCUUGGCAGAGAGAAAACUCAGGCAAAGGCUAACAAGAAUUGCCAUAUUAACUGCCCUGGCCACAGCAAAGGUGCUGCAGGGUGGAAUGUUUGAAAACAACUGGUGUGCUCUUAUACCAACACGACCUUUGAGAGUGCCAGGCCUGUAACUCAAGCAUUAAUAAUGGAUUACCAAAGUCAACCAGCUGCAAGGGAACCACUUCUCCCUGCUUAGAUAAUUCUCUUCCCUGAGAAGAAGAGCUAUCGAUUUUGAUACUGAUUCCUUCCUCCCCAGUGGAAGGGCUACACCCCACUGCCACUGCCUGUGACAGCGAGCUCUCUCCUGAUCUGCACACACAAAACACAUCAGCCACAUUAUUCUGCUCCAGGAACAGAGACAGCCCCCCAGGACCACUGAGACUGCCACUGAAGCUGUAUGCACUCUUAUUUCUCACCAGAAGAUUCAGCUUUGCUUUUCAGUGUUGGUUUCUCAUGAGACUGCAACAAGUAACUUCUCCAAGCAUCGUGAACCUGGCCAGAUCCCCAUUGACUUUACACUAUCCACAGCAUUAAGGAUAGGGAUGAAUAUCAGCUUUGAUCCACCACAUGCAACGCAAGCUGGUUGUGCAAACAUCCUCACACAUAAAUGUCUUUGCUUUGCUGUCUUCAUCUAUUCUGCUCUCCUGAGUCCACACUUGUGUCUGCAAUCCCUGGUCUGGCUGGAGGGAGGUAGAGGUUCAUAUUCAUGUUAAGGAAGUGUUAUAGUCAUGGACUGACCUGGAAAUCUGUCCAUUUGGUUUUUAGGCCAGCCUGAAACAGGAACCAUGUGCAAGUUUGUGGCGCCUUUAAAUAGAACCCUUCAUCUGUCUUCCAAAGAAAAAAGAUGUUUGCAGUCACACAGGUCUGUGUGUUCAUCUGGCACCUGUCUCUUCAUUGUGGGGACAUUUGAACUCAUUGGCCAGCUUUAACCACAUUUAGCUGUGGUUAAUAAAUGCGGUCUAAAAAGAUAUGAUGAAGUCAAAGCAGUCAGAUGUAACACCAAAGCCCUACUGACAGACUGAGACGGGGCAAGCCUGCGGCAUGUGUUCAACCUUAAUGAGACACUCGAGAAGGCACCUGGGAGAAGAAAGCCACUUAGAAAGCCCUGGGUGUGGGGCAUCUUCUAGUCUGAGUUCACACUUCUCCAGACAUCAGAGAAUCCUACUACAAGAAGCAAACCUGCAGGGAGUUGGGCUUCAUUACUUCCUCUGCUUGCUGAGUAACUUGUUUCCUUGGAUCAUCUUUCAUCUCUUUGCAGGCAUGAGCUGUGGAAACAAAGGGCUGGAUGCAUGACAGGAUUUAGGGUGCUGUUACAAAAUGGUGGGAGCAAGGGUCCUCUUUUAUCCGCAGCCCUGUGGGAAGCUGGCAGUGAUGACACAGCUGUGUGGAUAAGUGCUUAGCCCUUGGGCUGGGUGAGGGAGGUGGCACUUGGGCUGGUUGGGAAGGGGAAUCCUGGGGAUCCAGACCAAGAAAUAAACCCCCUCUUUUAUAGUAGAAACACCAAAAUGAGACAUUUGGAUAGUUUGAGUCUUGUUUGUGGAAAGAAGUCAGACUGAAUGAAUAGUUAAAAUAACUUCAUGGUACAAAUGCGAAGGAACCCCUGGAAUUUGCUAGUUUAGGGCAUAAAAAUUGUUUCUGGAAAAUACAAAGAAACAAAAAAACAAAACAAAAAAAACCCCCAAAACCAGAAAAACCCAAACCUACAAACCCAAACUUUUUACCUGCUACAAUAACCUGCUGACUGCUCGUUGUCUUGUCCUCUAUGGGAAGAACUUUAC